CGAGUGCCGCCGCCACCACCAGCGUCCGACCCCGAGCUCCUCCUCCCGUGCGCCUCCUCCCCGGCCUCCCUCGCGCGUCGUCCGGCGCCGCCGCCGCCGACCACCCAAGUCACGCCGCCGCUACCAUGCCUUCUCUCUCUCUCUCUCUCUCUCUCUCCAGGAGCUCAGCGCCAGCGCCAUGGAUAUCCAGUCCUCGAGCUCUCCUCGGAGGUUCGAACGCCGCCACGGGACCUCCACCAGCCAGAUCCGGCGCCUACCUCUCGGAUCCGCGUUCCCUCCACCUCCUCUACCGAUCCGGCGCCGCCGAACCCGCCAUGACCUCCACCAUGGAGCUCCUGUAGCUCGUCCCCUGCCUCCUCGUCCUGUGCUCGAGGGAGACGCCCCUCCAGCGCAUCGAGCACAAGGCGCACCGCCAGCCGGUCGUCAUUGCACUCUUGCGACCUCACCGUCCCCUCUGCACUGCCCUGCACCUCAACUGAUGCUUCUCAUCAAUAGGGAUAGAUUUAGCUGGUCAUAGCUUGUGGAUGUUCUCUGUUAUUUUUUGCACACAAGGUGUUUGUGUGUUUGUCCAAGCCAAUGUUCAUGAGCUUUAUCUUUGCUAUAAAUGACAUGGCUGAGAAAGUCCCUUCAAUGAAAGGAGGAGGAGUAUAGUCUUGGCCAUGGCUCGGAAGGAAGGAGAAUAGGUAAAUGGAGGAUUUUUUUAGAGAGAUUAGGACUGCUUGAUUUAUCAGAGAGAAAACCUUGAUCAUGCUGGGCCGAGGAGGAGAAGAAGGGGGGCACGUCGGAGGUGCCGGUGGAGCACGCCGCCGAGAUCGUUAAUGACAGCGACACGGGCGAGGCCGGGGAGGAGGUCAUGGUUGAUGCUUUACUACCUGAAUAUGUUGACCGGGAACAAGAGGGUAAGGUGGAUGUGAGGGCGGAGGCGCAUACCAUGGUGCAGGAUGUUGUGGAAGCCCGAUUAUUUGAGGAAGUGACAGCCACUGGGAGCAUGGAUCGACAGACUAGACAGCAGACCAAGUACAUUGAUUGGUAGAUUCAACAAUGAAGGAAGAGGCAGAAGGUUAUAAUAACGAGCUUGGGGAUUUACUGACCUGAAUCUUAAACAGGGCCGCCCUGCUGAUGGACUCAAGCUCCAGAUAUGCAAAGUCAUAGUCCUGCAUGUAUGCACAUAUACUGAUACAUACAAGCCGGUCAACGGGCACACACAUUAGUAAGUUUUGCUACUAGCCUAAUCAAGAGCCUUUUAUACAACCCCGCAAAAAAAGCCUUUUAUACAGCCUUGCAGAUAAAAAAUGAAUUGAAUUAUGAGCAUCUGAUAACUAUGAUCAAUUUCCUGGUUAUGCUUCCUCAAAUAAAGGUGGCCGACCAAAUGAAAGGAUGGAUGCUUUCCUUUAUGUGAGAUUAUAUACAUUAUCUUACUUGAUCUGCAAUGUUUCUUUGGAAAUUUUUUAUGAAAGACACAUGACACAUAGUUUGCUGGAUAGGUCUAAGAUAAAUAUUUCAGUUAUAGGAGGAUAUUUUUUAAUGGGUAAUACUAUUACCGAUAUCUGCUUGGUCUGUUGUGCUUUUGGUAGAGCUUUCAUAUUUCAACACAAAAACAACAAUGCAAGUUGGGACCAGAAUAGGACACACAUCCUCAAAGGAAACAUUAGUUGGGAGUGCUCAAGUAUUCAGUUUCUUGGAUGAUGUAUUAUGUUCCUGCUUAUCAUGUACUCCCUCUGUAAACAAAUAUUUGUUACAGAGGGAGUAUGUUUCUAGAUAUCCGUCAAUUCCAAUGUUUCAUUUAUCUACUCUCUGAAUAUGAAGAAGAUAGGCUUGCAAAGUAGCUUUUUACGUGAAUAAUGUGACAAACAUUUAUGUCUUAUAACUGCAAACAUUUUUUGUUUAGUCCGUCAUCGAGCAAAUUUUUGGGAGUUGGAAAUUAUUUGGAUACACAUGAUCUCAGCAAAGAAAGAUUCACACAUACUACAACCAAAGGACCUCCUUCACUCUCUGUGCAACUACAGAAAUUAUCCUUAUGAGCAGCACCCUAGAUUUAGUUGUGGGUUCUAACAUAUUAGAGAUGUGGUUAGAAUACCUACUGCUCUGAACAAUUAAAUGGUUUGUAUAAACCACCGAUUCCCUCGUGCAGUGUACAAUGUGAUAUAGAUCAUCAUAGAUCAAACUUAAUACAGGAAGUACACACUUAAUU